ACCAGGGCGGUGCUGGUGCGAUGCAGAAAGUCCUGCCGCGCGUGACGGAUCUUUCGAUGUGCGCGCGCGACCCUGACCUUCGCCUUGAGGCGAUUGCUGCUGCCAGGACGACAACGAGCCAAUCUACGUUGAUAGCGCGCCAAGUUGCGGGCCUUGCGCGCCAGGUGCUGAGGGGCGGCUAUGCGCUCGUUGUCGCUCGUCACGAGGAAGUUGGUGAGUCCAAGGUCGACACCAACUCCGUGGCUGACCGGCUCAGCCGGAGCAGGUGUUUCGGCGUCAACGGCAAAGGUCACGUACCAGCGACCGUCCGGCUCUCGAGAGACGACCACCAUCGUGGGGUCGAGCGUGGCCACUUCCACUCUUGCGAACGACCAGGUGAACCGCAGCGGCACAUCGGUUUUUGCCAGCGUCACCACGCCAUCGCGCAUCCGAAACGCCGAGCGCGUGUAGUGCGCGCUCUGGUAUCCGGUGCGGGACUUGAAUCUGGGGUAACGAGAUCGCCCGGAGAAGAAGUGAAGGAACGCGGAGUGCUGAUGCCGCAAUGUCUGCUGCAGUGGUACAGAGGACACCUCCGACAGGAAGGCGAGUUCAUCG
rnacentral:antisense_RNA from 1 species